GUCAGAAAUCCCUCCCCCCACGCUCUUGAUGAAAAAAUCAAGAAUAAGGGGACGCAGAGAGUGGGGAAAAUUGGAUUUUAGCAGCUCCUCUUCUCUCUAAAAUGGCCAAGCAAAAGAGAGACAGAAAGAAUCUCAUUGCUUUGACGGGAGCCGCUGCUCUUGUAGCUAUUGCAGUCAACUUUGCUAUCUCCGCUAUCAACAAAAAACAUCAAAAGAAAAGAGAUGUUCCAGGUUCAAAAGUUCGAGUGAACCUAUCUGCUUCUGAAAUUUUUAAAUUGGCGGAAAGCAUAAUUAAUAAAUC